AUGCCUUUAAGAUUUGAGGAGUUCCCUUGAUUCCUCAUGGAUCCCAUCAUCAGAACUCGAGCUUGACAAAAAUCUAUGCGUCGUUGAAGAGUUCCAUUCUGAUCAUCAUCAGCAGUUUCACUUCAUCAAAUGUCACAAUUCUGAAUGUAAAUGCUUGGUUUGUUUAAAAUACACCAGUAUCACUAUAUGUUAGGGUGGUUCACAAAACAUUUUUUUUCCUAAGGGGCACCCCCUUAUUUUGUUACACUUAUUAUGUUGAUAAAAUACACCAAGUUUCUUAAUUUAUCUCAACUAUACUUCGUUUUUUUUAGCAUUAGAAAUUAGGUAAACAAUCUUGAUGUGCGUUUUAAUUGAAAAACACAUUUUAAAAAUAAGUUACGGCAAAUACACUCGCGUGCAAAAGUAUUGCAUCACUUUGCAUUUUUUCGUCCGCACCCAAUAUCUUUGUAAUUCUAGAGCCGAUUCUGAAAAUUUUGGUAUCAACUGAAAGCUUAUAAUCUAACGCAUUAGAAAAUUGGGAAAUUUAAUGAAAUUUCAAAUCUGAAGACUACAAAAAAUCAGAAACUGAAAGUAGCGACAUAAUGGUCGAGAAAUAAAUUUAGGAAAGUUAAGAAUAAAAGUCAUUUAUUUAAUACAAAAUAAAUUAUUAUUAUUAAAUUAAUACCUGGUGUUGCCACCCCUAGCCCUCCUCACACAAAUCAAGCGGUUUUUCAUAGACCUAAUUAAUUUUCUAAUGAAAUCUUGUGGAAUAGCGUCCCA